UGGGGAAUAUUGGACAAUGGGCGCAAGCCUGAUCCAGCCAUGCCGCGUGGGUGAUGAAGGCCCUAGGGUUGUAAAGCCCUUUCAGCGGGGAAGAUAAUGACGGUACCCGCAGAAGAAGCCCCGGCUAACUUCGUGCCAGCAGCCGCGGUAAUACGAAGGGGGCUAGCGUUGCUCGGAAUUACUGGGCGUAAAGCGCACGUAGGCGGAUUGUUAAGUCGGGGGUGAAAUCCUGGAGCUCAACUCCAGAACUGCCUUCGAUACUGGCGAUCUCGAGUCCGGGAGAGGUGAGUGGAACUGCGAGUGUAGAGGUGAAAUUCGUAGAUAUUCGCAAGAACACCAGUGGCGAAGGCGGCUCACUGGCCCGGUACUGACGCUGAGGUGCGAAAGCGUGGGGAGCAAACA
rnacentral:rRNA from 1 species